UUUAACUCUGGUGAAUGGCCCUGAGCGGGCACCACACCAGCCUGGAGUCUGCUCCCGGGAGGGGCGGACACAAAGCCUGCAGGCCAGGGGCCUCCUGACCAGAGCUGCCUGUCCAGGGCUCAGCCCAGAUGGGGAUCAGCUCCUCUUCCAGGCGGGCUUAGGGGGCUUCACGUGUACUUCCUGUCUGAGAAGCGCUGGUGUGGACACCCAUGGAAGAAGGCAGUGUUGUAAGCACGGGGACAGAGACGUACGUGAGCAGAUGGAACCCCCGAAGACCUGCAGCUGUCAUCCUGGGACUGUGUGCCCGGCACUGUGCUAAAUGCUCCCUGGGGCAUCUCGUGUAACCUUUGCAGGAACCCUAAAAACGACGAUCAGAUUAGCCUCCUCCUCUUGAAAAUGGAGACAAAAUUCAAAUAACAUAAACUUCACCACUUUAACCAUUUUAUUUUAUUUACAUAUUUUUUUUGAGACAGAGUCUCGC
rnacentral:lncRNA from 10 species